CCUACGGGAGGCAGCAGUGAGGAAUAUUGGUCAAUGGGCGGGAGCCUGAACCAGCCAAGUCGCGUGAAGGAAGAAGGUACUUAGUAUUGUAAACUUCUUUUGUCGGGGAACAAAGUCGGAGACGCGUCUCCUGAUGAGUGUACCCUACGAAAACGCAUCGGCUAACUCCGUGCUAGCAGCCGCGGUAAUACGGAGGAUGCGAGCGUUACCCGGAAUUAUUGGGUUUAAAGGGUGCGCAGGCGGGGGAUCAAGUCAGCGGUAAAAUGUCGGGGCUCAACCCCGGCCGGCCGUUGAUACUGGUAAACUAGAGUUAGAGAGAAGUAAGCGGAAUUCGUGGUGUAGCGGUGAAAUGCAUAGAUAUCACGAAGAACUCCGAUUGCGAAGGCAGCAUACCGGGUCCAUACUGACGCUGAGGCACGAAAGCGUGGGGAUCGAACAGGAUUAGAUACCCUAGUAGUC
rnacentral:rRNA from 1 species